rnacentral:rRNA from 1 species
GAUGAACGCUGGCGGCGUGCCUAAUACAUGCAAGUCGAGCGAACGGACGAGGAGCUUGCUUCUCUGAUGUGAGCGGCGGACGGGUGAGUAACACGUGGAUAACCUACCUAUAAGACUGGGAUAACUUCGGGAAACCGGAGCUAAUACCGGAUAAUAUUUUGAACCGCAGGGUUCAAAGGUGAAAUACGGUCUUGCUGGCAGUUAUAGAUGGAUCAGGGCUGCAUUAGAUGGUUGUGAAGGUAACAGCCUACCAAGGCAACGAUGCAUGGCCGACCGGAGGGGCUGAUCGCCCACCUGAGAGGGGAGACACGCUCAAGAGUCCUAAGGUAGGCAGCAGUCGGGAACCUUACGCAACGGGCGAAAGCAUGACGGAGCAAGGCGGCGUGAGUGAUGACGGUCUUGGGUUCGUAAAAACCUCUUAUUAGGGAUGAACAUCUGUGGAAGGAAAUGUGCACAUCUUGACGGUAACUAAUCAGAAAGCAACGGCUAACUACGUG